AUUGAACGCUGGCGGCAGGCCUAACACAUGCAAGUCGAGCGGAUGAAGGGAGCUUGCUCCUGGAUUCAGCGGCGGACGGGUGAGUAAUGCCUAGGAAUCUGCCUGGUUGUGGGGGAUAACGUCCGGAAACGGGCGCUAAUACCGCAUACGUCCUGAGGGAGAAAGUGGGGGAUCUUCGGACCUCACGCUAUCAGAUGAGCCUAGGUCGGAUUAGCUAGUUGGUGGGGUAAAGGCCUACCAAGGCGACGAUCCGUAACUGGUCUGAGAGGAUGAUCAGUCACACUGGAACUGAGACACGGUCCAGACUCCUACGGGAGGCAGCAGUGGGGAAUAUUGGACAAUGGGCGAAAGCCUGAUCCAGCCAUGCCGCGUGUGUGAAGAAGGUCUUCGGAUUGUAAAGCACUUUAAGUUGGGAGGAAGGGCAGUAAGUUAAUACCUUACUGUUUUGACGCUACCAACAGAAUAAGCACCGGCUAACUUCGUG
rnacentral:rRNA from 1 species